ensembl:lncRNA
GUCUCUUUCAGGAGACUGCUCCUCUGGGAGUUUUCUUUUCUGCAAGCCUACAACGCAGGUACCUGGAUUCCAACUGCUGUCUCUGUCCACAAUAAAAGGCCAUGGUCAUGUAGCAAAAUGAAAGUGAAGGAGCUCUUCCAGUACAUCGGAAAGACCAGAAAAGCAAUUCUGUAUGUUUUUGCCUCCUAAUUUUGAUACAAACUGGGAGUAACUACACUUAUUUCAGGCUCACACAGCAUCAUAUCCUCCUUCUGUUUGGUUAUUAGACAUAAACUUGUCUGUUUUUAUCAAUUUAGUAAUACAUCCUCAUACGUGACACUAAGACUUGUCUGAAUCGCUGGUUUUGGAUCCUUCUUUCAUGUUUAAAAUAUUACCAUUUUGCUACAUUUAUUCAUCUGGGUUUAAGUUUUGGUUACUUCAACUUUUUAUGUUCAUUUUAACUUAGAGAAAAUCAAUUGAUAAAACAUUGCAUUUGUUUACACAUUUUCAAAUUAAUAUGUUGUGUAAAGUAAUAAUGUCAGAUUGAAUCCUGUAAUAUUUAGAUAUGAAAAUGGCCCCGAUUUUUUUUUUUUUUGCAUGCUUUACCUCACCAAAACUACUGAUGUAAACAAAAGGCAUCAAGUAUGAAUUUUGAAUUAGAAAACUGAACCUUCAACAACUGAGUCUGGUUGGUACUAACAUGCUGCAUCAAACCUCAUUAAAACCGCCAAUAGAGGACUAUCCUGCAUAUAAGUAUAAUGCCAUAACCCACUACUGCAGAGACAAAGAAGGCUCCAGUUCAUGGCGACCCAAGGGACAAGAUGUGCAGCUGGUCAGACAAGUACAUGAAUGAAAUUUUUACUAAAUUAGUUGUUUAUUAUUU